AACGUAGGAGACAAACGUUAUCCGGAGUUACUGGGCGUAAAGGGCGUGUAGGUGGUUUCGUAAGUCUGGCGUGAAAUAUCUCGGCUUAACCGAGGCAGGUCGUCGGAUACUGCGGAACUAGAGGACGGUAGAGGCGUGUGGAAUUCCGGGUGUAGCGGUGGAAUGCGUAGAGAUCCGGAGGAAGACCGGUGGCGAAGGCGGUCUGCUGGACAGUUUCUGACACUGAGGCGCGACAGCGUGGGGAGCAAACAGG
rnacentral:rRNA from 1 species